rnacentral:rRNA from 1 species
AUUGAACGCUGGCGGCAUGCUUUACACAUGCAAGUCGAACGGCAGCGGGGGCUUCGGCCUGCCGGCGAGUGGCGAACGGGUGAGUAAUGCAUCGGAACGUGCCCAUGUCGUGGGGGAUAACGUAGCGAAAGCUACGCUAAUACCGCGUACGUCCUGAGGGAGAAAGCGGGGGAUCUUCGGACCUCGCGCGAUUGGAGCGGCCGAUGUCGGAUUAGCUAGGAGGUGAGGUAAAGGCUCACCUAGGCGACGAUCCGUAGCGGGUCUGAGAGGAUGAUCCGCCACACUGGGACUGAGACACGGCCCAGACUCCUACGGGAGGCAGCAGUGGGGAAUUUUGGACAAUGGGCGCAAGCCUGAUCCAGCCAUGCCGCGUGAGUGAAGAAGGCCUUCGGGUUGUAAAGCUCUCUCGGCCGGGAAGAAAUCGUGUUCUCUAACAUAGGACAUGGAUGACGGUACCGGACUAAGAAGCACCGGCUAACUACGUGCCAGCCGCCGCGGUAAGAC